rnacentral:rRNA from 1 species
GGGUCGCUGGGCGGCUGAGAGUUUGAUCCUGGCUCAGGACGAACGCUGGCGGCGUGCCUAACGCAUGCAAGUCGAGCGAUGAAACCCUUCGGGACUGGAUUAGCGGCGGACGGGUGAGUAACACGUGGGUAACCUGCCUCAAAGUGGGGGAUAGCCUUCCGAAAGGAAGAUUAAUACCGCAUAAAGCCAAGUUUCACAUGGAAUUUGGAUGAAAGGAGUAAUUCGCUUUGAGAUGGACCCGCGGCGCAUUAGUUAGUUGGUGGGGUAAUGGCCUACCAAGACAGCGAUGCGUAGCCGACCUGAGAGGGUGAUCGGCCACAUUGGAACUGAGAUACGGUCCAGACUCCUACGGGAGGCAGCAGUGGGGAAUAUUGCACAAUGGGCGAAAGCCUGAUGCAGCAACGCCGCGUGAGUGAUGAAGGUGUUCGGAUUGUAAAGCUCUGUCUUUUGGGACGAUAAUGACGGUACCAAAGGAGGAAGCCACGGCUAACUACGUGCCAGCAGCCGCGGUAAUACGUAGGUGGCNAGCGUUGUCCGGAUUUACUGGGCGUAAAGGGUGCGUAGGCGCAUGUUUAAGUGAGAUGUGAAAUACCCGGGCUUAACUUGGGUGCUGCAUUUCAAACUGGAUAUCUAGAGUGCAGGAGAGGAGAAUGGAAUUCCUAGUGUAGCGGUGAAAUGCGUAGAGAUUAGGAAGAACACCAGUGGCGAAGGCGAUUCUCUGGACUGUAACUGACGCUGAGGCACGAAAGCGUGGGUAGCAAACAUGAUUAGAUACCCUGGUAGUCCACGCCGUAAACGAUGAGUACUAGGUGUAGGAGGUAUCGACCCCUUCUGUGCCGCAGUAAACACAUUAAGUACUCCGCCUGGGAAGUACGAUCGCAAGAUUAAAACAGAAAGGAAUUGACGGGGGCCCGCACAAGCAGCGGAGCAUGUGGUUUAAUUCGAANNAACGCGAGGAACCUUACCUGGACUUGACAUCCCCUGAAUAACCUAGAGAUAGGCGAACCCUUCGGGGCAGCGAGACAGGUGGUGUAUGGUUGUCGUCAGCUCGUGUCGUGAGAUGUUAGGUUAAGUCCUGCCUCGAGCGCAACCCUUAUUGUUAGUUGCUAACAUUCAGUUGAGCACUCUAACGAGACUGNCGCGGUUAACGCGGAGGAAGGUGGGGAUGACGUCAAAUCAUCAUGCCCCUUAUGUCCAGGGCAACACACGUGCUACAAUGGGCAGAACAAAGAGAAGCAAUACCGUAGGUGGAGCCAAACUCAAAAACUGCUCUCAGUUCGGAUUGCAGGCUGAAACUCGCCUGCAUGAAGCUGGAGUUGCUAGUAAUCGCGAAUCAGCAUGUCGCGGUGAAUACGUUCGCGGGCNUUGUACACACCGCCCGUCACACCAUGAGAGCUGGCAACACCCGAAGUCCGUAGUCUAACGUAAGAGGACGCGGCCGAAGGUGGGUCGGAUGCACAAGCUAGACCGAU